UACUUUAGAUCAUCUCUAGGUUAAUUAUAAUGCCUAGUACAAUGUAAAUGAUAUGUAAAUAGUCAUUAUACUGUACUAUUUGUAUUGUUAUAUUGUUAUUUUUCUCUAAAUAUUUUUGAUCCAUAGUUGGUUGAAUCCACGGAUGUUUGGAUCCAGCCCCUGGAUACGGAGGGCUGACUUUAAUCUUCCCCCAUCCUUAAGUAUCCUGUGAAGUUAUAAAUGAUGUGUGCCAUGUCUUACACCAGCAACUGUGCCCCCUUGGCCUGGGCACAUGUGGCAACUGUCCAUGCAUCAUGUUGUUUAGGAGUCUUUUUUCCAGAGCUGAUGAUAACAAGACAGUUUCCUCUGCAGCUUCUUUCACCUGGCAUCUAUUUCACAGAGGAGGGAGAGGAGGGAAGGAAAUUGUAAUUCACAGUGAUGUUAUCAGCCAGCACCAUGCCUGGGAGAUCACCAGUGCAGGAGAGGUAUAAAAUGCUCCAGGGGCAAGGUUCUGAGAAGAUGCCCUGCCACUGUAUGAGGCCACAACCUGCUGUGUAUAACCUCAUCUAAGCACAGAGAAGCACCAGGUGAACCCAAGUGGAAAGUAGUCUAUUAAAAAGGGGUUAGGGGCCCUCUGCAUCCCUCCAAAAUGUCAAUGUCAUCAAAAAUUUUAAAAGACUCUGGAAACGUUCCAGAUUUAAGAAAGCUAAAGAAACAUCACAGCCCUAGGCUGGGUCCAGUCUGGGAGUGGAAAAAAUGCUGUGAGGAUAUUACUGACUCAAGUGAUAAAACUGGAAUAAAUGGGUUAAAGUACGGUAUCAAUAUUGAUAACUACAAUUAUGUUAGAGAGUCCCAUAUUCUUGGGAAAUAUACACUGAAGUAUUUAGGGGUAAAGGAGUAUGAUGAACUUAUUGGCAAAUGCUUUAGAAACAGCCAUCGUACUUGUAUAUAAUAUUUAUGUAAGUAUGUGUUUUACACAGGAAGACUGAGCGUGGGAAAUGAUAAAGCAAACUGUGGACUUGAAUGAAAGACAUACAGGUAUUCUUUGUAUUUUUAUAGUUAGCUUCUGAGUCUGAAAUUAUUUCCCAAAUAAAAAGUUAAAAACAAAUCUCUACUGAACAAUGUACAUCUUCCAAGAGAUUUCCUUGUAGCUAAACUACUGAUAAGCUUAGGUUCAUAAAAGUCUAUCUAGCAUCCAGUGACUAAGG
rnacentral:lncRNA from 1 species